GGUGCCCAUGAUGGGAGCUCUUGUCAUGCUCUAUGGCUGGACCCUCCCACGGUUCACUGCACUGGACCCGAUUCUGCCACCACGCCACGAGACAGCCCUACGAUUGCCAGGGACACCCAUAAGAUUGCAGUGGCCGUCUGUCUCACGGUGUGGAAUCCAUUUUGUUUCUUUCACUUGCUCUGGGCACUGGCAGAGCAUCAGCUGAGGCUCUAAAGCCUGGUUCUGGCUUGUUUCCCCUGGGAAUCACCCUCCUGCACUUCAUUCUGCCUCCCAAGUCACUCCCACCAUGCUCCACAGUAACUGGUUCCACCAGUUUUUCUGAGCAUUCUUCUCCCUCCGCCACUCCAGCUGAAAGCUGUCUUGAUCAAAUCACCUACCCUCCAGGCACACAUGGUCUUCCCCUUCCUUGUGCAAGGCACCCCAUCCCAGCCGGGAAGCCACCAUCCCGCUAUCUGAAAUCGUGCUCCCAGCUGGUUUAUCUUUGUGGACCUAUUUGGGGUCAGUUCUGCCUGGGGCUGGCGAGUGUGGAUUAAACAUCUCAGUGGAUCUGCUCUGUUCUGAGGUCUGCCCUGACAGAAGGCACGCUCUGGUCUUUGAACAGGAAUUUAAGGAGGCUUCAUUUUGAUGUGAAUUGGAGUUCAAACUUGGCUCGAUUGUAGACUGAGCUCUGAGAAUGAAACGGCGUCGCCACACAAAGGCCGUCACAGAGAACCCAGACAAACACAAGAGAUUGCUACCAAAACACAAAAAGACCCCUCUCUGCCACUGCUGCACCGAUGAGGCAGGGAAGCACAUUUUGCCACAUUCCAUCUGAGAAUGGGUGGAGUUCAUUCCAUUUCACCCCUGUUCUCUGCUGCUCCCAGCUCCAGGAAUGAGCAUAAUCCCUCAGGCUCAUGAACAUAUUCCGUCUGAUCACGACUGGCUCUGGGAUAGCACAAGAGUCAACUUGGUCCACCGAGCCUCAUUCCUAAGCCUCUUCUGAAAUGACAGGGAGGAGGAGCCCCUGUUCCCUGGGAUUGCCCUGCUGAGGAUGUGGUCCCAAGGCUGCAACAGGCCACCGUGCAGAGAUGCUCUGGCUGAGAGUGAAGGCAAUGCAUGAGGAACUUGAACUGAGAAUGGAAGAGAGCAAGAGAGACACCAAGGUCCAGCAGCAUCACUUGGAGCCUGAACUUUGUAGUUCUAAGGAGGCAGUUACUGAGUAGCGUCCCUGCUAAUUUGAGCUGGCCCUGUUACCAGUGGCCCAGAGGCCUAUGGAACAUGCCCAAUUCAGGCCUUGCUAACAUGUAGUCAUCCUUUUACGGUCACUAGGUUGCCUCCAUCAUGCAGUUGAGUCCUCGUUGAUACUCCCCAGGCUGUACCUUGCUUUUACACGAAAUCCAAACUAGAGCCUUAUUUCCCAUCCUCCAAAGUCCUUUCUGCUUUACUCCCUGGCUCAGAUUGACCCCCACUCCUUUAUACCAUCAACUAGCUGGUCUUUUUCCAGCAGAAAGCGUAGAUCACUAGGUUAAUCCCAAGAAUUAUUUCUCAGCUCUCUUCAACUGGAGUCAUUCUACAGAGACUGAGAUAGGCAACUUCAGGAUCCAUCAGCACUGGUCUCCUCCUCGAGUUCUCAAGCCCUAAUCUUUACCUCACUUCCUUCUUCCUCUUCUCGUAUGUGGUUCCUGGCUAGCUCCCAUCGGCUGGUGUGUUCCCCUCCCUGAUCUUCAUUUGCCCUUUCUCCAUCUGCUUCUCCCACGCACCACUGAGCAUCUUAAAUUCCUCUGCAUUCUGAUUUCCAUCUUCAUCCAUAUUUUAGGCCCAUUCUGCCUUGACUCAUGCAGGCCUGGCUGUCUUCUCCUUUGAAAAGAGAGCAGAGCCCCUGCUGAGGGUUUGAAAAUCAGACAUGAUUUUUCAAUUGGAUCAGUCACCUCAGAUUCCUAUCGCUUGCUUCUCUCUCUGUCUCUCUCCAUGUACAGUGAGCUUAUUUGAGGCAUGUAAAAAGGAGUAAAAGUUCCUAUGAGAAUGUCCCCUAUUUGAGCAGUUAUUCUAUUCCAAAGAGGAAUGAUUCUUGUUUUUAAAUCAGGGUCAUUUCUGCCUGAAAUAUCUCUUCUCCUCACCCCCUCACAUCCAUCUCUAUGGCAUUCCUUACUUCUGGGAAUGCCACAGGUUAUAACCCAUUCCUUUAUCCUCUAUUAAAAUAUAAAUACGCUCGUUCAGAGAGUUCAUUCAAAAAAUGAUAGCAGUCAGGGCAGCCUGGUGGCACAGUGGUUAAGUUUGCAUGCUCUGUUUUAGGAGCCUGGGGUACAGAGGUUAGCUCAGGGCCAAUCUUCCUCAGCUAAAAGAGGAGGAUUGGUGGUGGAUGUUAGCUCAGAGCUAAUUUUCCUUAAAAAAAAAAAAAUGAUAGCAACCAUUCAUACUUUACUAUGAGUGAGUUUAUCAGAUACUCUGAUGUUUAUAGAUUUCACUAGAAAAGAAGCAGAUGAAAGCAUAAGCUGUGGAAAUGGGAGGCUAGAAAAAGAUGUGGCUUUAGGAGAAGGGGAGUUGGAGAAAAAAUGGAGAAAAAUGUGAGGCUGAAGAAACCAAAGAAGAAACUUUCUUUUUUCUUAUUUUUUUCCCAAUGUCCUCCCUGUCUGUCUCUCUCCUGAUGUUGCUUCUCUUCCUGAUGUGUACAUGUAAGGCCUUCCUGCGUACCUGUGUAUACUCAUAGGUAUACCAACCCAAUUUUAACAGUGCACGGUGUUAACUGAAACCAGUUCAACAUCUGGCAUUGAAGCCGUGGAAAAUCUACUACAUUUUCGGUCAAAUACCUUUCAUUCACUCAUUUCUUGAACAAAUAAUGACUCAUCACUGUGCUGGGCAUUGGGAUACAGAAAUGAACAAGACAGAUAAGUUGUUUUUCCCUGUAUAGUGAAAAUAUUUGUGGCCUUUGUCUAACUAGACUGUCCCUGAAAGAAAAAAGAAAGAUGCCUGUUUGGCUUAGGUUGGUGCGAAUGUGUGUCUGCAAGUGUCAGACAUUGAACAUAUUAGG
rnacentral:lncRNA from 1 species